rnacentral:rRNA from 1 species
AUGAACGCUGGCGGCGUGCCUAAUACAUGCAAGUCGAGCGAACAGAUAAGGAGCUUGCUCCUUUGACGUUAGCGGCGGACGGGUGAGUAACACGUGGGUAACCUACCUAUAAGACUGGGACAACUUCGGGAAACCGGAGCUAAUACCGGAUAAUAUGUUGAACCGCAUGGUUCAAUAGCGAAAGAUGGUUUUGCUAUCACUUAUAGAUGGACCCGCGCCGUAUUAGCUAGUUGGUGAGGUAACGGCUCACCAAGGCAACGAUACGUAGCCG